rnacentral:lncRNA from 1 species
CUUCCUUUCUCCUGUGGGCUCAGGAAUGGAGCUGGGAAGUUAGGCUUGUGCACCAAGCACUCACGCCCGUUCAGUCACUUGCUGUUUCUCCUUCGCAAGUGCUCAUGGUCCGUCUCCCCCAGGGCACCUUCCUCCUUUCUGAGUUCUUCUUCUGAGAGGACCAGGCAUGGUGAACCUCAUGUCAAGAAGAGAACUGGGGACCGAACCCAGGGCCUUGUGUUUGCUAGGCAAGCGCUCUACCACUGAGCUAAAUCCCCAACCCCUCUAAAGUUCUUGUUAGCUGUUCUGGCUUCCUCUUUGGGGAACACUUUUGGGAAGCAUUCUCAGCUGUUGGGGAGCACUCUCAGUUGUUG